rnacentral:ribozyme from 1 species
UGUUUUUUUUUUUUUUUUUUUUUUUUUUUUUA